rnacentral:rRNA from 1 species
CCCUUAGAUGUUCUGGGCUGCACGCGCGUUACAAUGAUAAAAGCAGAGAGUGAGAAAAGAAAAAAAAAGUUGAAGAAAUUCAAUUUUUUUUUUUUAAAAACACGUUGGAUGAGAAACAUUUGACAAAUCUUGGAAAUUUUAUCGUACUAUGAAUUGUUAAUUGAAACUAUUUGACAUGAAAAAGGAAUGCCUAGUAGGUGCAAGUCAUCAACUUGCGCCGAUUACGUCCCUGUCUCUUGUACACACCGCCCGUCGCUCCUACCGAUUGAAACCAACGGUGAAAAAUUCGGAGAGAGUGAAUUUAGAAAUAGAUUUACGAUUGAAGUUUUUUAAAUCUUUUGUUUUAGAGGAAGGAGAAGUCGUAACA